rnacentral:rRNA from 1 species
UACGUAGGGGGCAAGCGUUGUCCGGAUUUAUUGGGCGUAAAGAGCGUGUAGGCGGCCAGGUAGGUCUGCUGUGAAAACUCGAGGCUUAACCUCGAGCUGUCGGCGGAAACCAUCUGGCUAGAGUCCGGAAGAGGAGAAUGGAAUUCCCGGUGUAGCGGUGAAAUGCGCAGAUAUCGGGAAGAACACCCGUGGCGAAGGCGGCUUUCUGGUCUGCUCUUGACGCUGAGGCGCGAAAGCUAGGGUAGCAAACGGG